ACGGCAGGAACACAGGAAAACCAGGAACGGCAGGAACACAGGAGAACCAGGAACGGCAGGAACGCAGGAACGGGGGGAAGGUCGUAUGGCAAGCAGACAAUCUGGCGACGAGUGAGAGAAAAGCCGGCGUUUAAAUGCAGGAGUUGAUGAGAUGAGGAAUGAGGCGCAGGUGUGUGUGGGGUCCGCCCUCCAGCGAUCUAUUGGCUGGAACCGCAGCAACCUCCGAAAACAGUACCGCUCCAGGCCGCUAGGGGGAGAAGGGAGCAAAACGGGAAAACAAACGCAAACCACCACCAAGAACAAAAGCGAUCGGGGAAACUAAAGAAAACGGAGAAAAACAAAAUACAAACCGGAAUGAAAACAAAACGCUGGGAAACCCUGAAAAUGAAAGAAAGACAGAGAAGAGAGAAACAAACGCCCCCUACAACAGGCACCAUCGACAACCAGCAGACGUCUUCAUCGGAGCAGUUAUGAGGCAAUCUUACCUGCGGACAAGCCACUCAUUGUUCAUACAGGCGCCCAACCUUCUGGUAGCAGAGCCGAGAUUUAAACUCACAGGUUCAAGAUGUGAGCUCUGAUGUUCUAACCCGUAAUUGAAGUAUAUAAAUGCAACUAACUCAGCAAAACUUGUUUUUUACUGUCUC